ACAGCAGCCGCCGCGGUAACACCAGCACCUCGAGUGGUCAGGAGGUUUAUUGGGCCUAAAGCAUCCGUAGCCGGUUGCAUAAGUUUUCGGUUAAAUCUAUGCGCUUAACGUAUAGGCCGCCGAAAAUACUGUGCAGCUAGGGAGUGGGAGAGGUACACGGUACUCGAUAGGAAGGGGUAAAAUCCUUUGAUCUAUUGAUGACCACCUGUGGCGAAGGCGGUGUACCAGAACACGUUCGACGGUGAGGGAUGAAAGCUGGGGGAGCAAACCGGAUUAGAUACCCGCGUAGUCCCUGUCUCUUAUAA
rnacentral:rRNA from 1 species